rnacentral:rRNA from 1 species
GGCAGACGGCUCAGUAACGCGUAGUCAACCUACCCUAUGGACGGGAAUAACCUCGGGAAACUGAGAAUAAUGCCCGAUAGAACAUUAUGCCUGGAAUGGUUUAUGUUCCAAAUGAUUUAUCGCCGUAGGAUGGGACUGCGGCCUAUCAGUUUGUUGGUGAGGUAAUGGCCCACCAAGACUAUUACAGGUACGGGCUCUGAGAGGAGUAGCCCGGAGAUGGGUACUGAGACACGGACCCAGGCCCUAUGGGGCGCAGCAGGCGAGAAAACUUUGCAAUGUGCGAAAGCGCGA